rnacentral:lncRNA from 1 species
AUCCACACAUAUAGUCAUUUGAUUUUUAAUAACUUAGCACCAAGGUAACUCAAUGAAGGAAACAACAAAUGAUGUUAGAACUACUAUAUAUUUGUGUUUCAAAAAAAACUACUCUCAACCUCUACCUUAAACCAUACACAAAAUAUAAUUCAAGAAUUCAUUCAGGAUACAUCACAGACGCCCAUUUAGCAGAACAAAAUAUGGAUGUCUGAGUACCUGGGUACUCCAUGGCCUCUCAAGUAGUUAAAUAAUUUAUUUUUCUAAUGUAACAACAAAACAUUACAGUUUUAACGUAAUUUGACCAAGCCCCAUGUUUCCUUCUAAGUUUUAAUUUCCAAAGAGGUCAGAACUUUUCAAACAUUUCUACCAUCGACAGAUUUAUAGCUGGCAAUGAAUUCUCCCAAAGGAAAUCAGACAAAAUAAAAUGUUUCCAACAUUGUUCACAUACUGACAACUUAUGUGCUUCCUUGGUGGUAAAAGUACAGGGUCUGAGUCAGAAGGCAGAACCAAGAAUGCUUAUGUCCAAGGGCAGGAGAAGACAGAUGUCCCAGUUCAAACAGGGAGAGUGAAUUUGCCCUUCCUCUGUCUUUUUGUUCUAUUCAGGCCCUCAGUGGAAUGGAUAAUGCCCACCCACAUUGGUGAGAGUGAUCUUCUUUACCAAUUCACAUGCUAUUCUCUUCUGGAAACAUCAUCACAGACAUACCUAGAAAUACUGUUUUGCCAUGUAUCUGGGCAUCUCUUAGCCCAGUCAAGUUGACAUAUAAAAUUAACCAUCAUAUCCAUGUUUAUAAGCAGCAUUAUUCACAAUAGCUAAAAUGUGGAAGUACUGCAAGUGUCUAUUGACAGAUGAAUGGAUAAUCUAAAUGUGGUAUAUACACACAAAGCAUUACGAAAGAAGGAAAUUCUGACACAUGCUACGACAUAGAUGAACCUUGAGUAUAUUACGCUAAGUGAAAUAAGCCAGUCAUGAAAAGACAAAUGCUGUAUGAUUCCACUUAUAUUGGGUACUUAGAGUAGUCAAAAUGAUACAGAAAGUAGAAUGGUGGAUGCCAGAGACUGGAGGAGGUGAGAGUUAUUGUUUAAUGUUUAUACAGUUUCAGUUUACAACAUAAAAUUAAUUCUGGAGGUAGAUGGGAGCAUAUUACACGUUUUCUUUUUGGAGAUGGGAUCUCACUCUGUUGCCCAGGCUGGAGUGCAGUUUUGUGAUCAUAGCUCACUGCAGCCUUAACUGUCUGGGCUCAAGUGAUCCUCCCACCCCAGGCACCAAAGCAGCUAAGACCACAGGUGCACACCACCACGCCUGGCUAAUUAUUAUUAUUUGUAGAGGCCAGGUACUGCUGUGUUGCCCAGGCUGGUGUUGAACCCCUGGGCUCAAGUGAUCAUCCUGCCCUGGCCUCCCAAAGUACUGGGAUUACAGGUGUGUGCCACCACACCUGGCCAGAAUAUUUAAUGCUACUGAACUGUAUAUUUAAACAUGCUUGGGCUGGGCAUGGUGCCUCAUGCCUAUAAUCCCAGCACUUUGGGAAGCCAAGGAGGGUGGAUUGCUUGAGCCCAGGAGUGUGACACCAGCCUGGGCAACAUGGUGAAACCCUGUCUCUACAAAAACAUUAACCGGGCAUGGUGGCACACGCCUGUAGUCCCACCUACUCUGGCGGCUGAGGCGGGAGGAUCACUCGAACCCGGGAGGUGGAUCUCGCCAC